GCCGGGCGUGGUGGCUCACGCCUGUAAUCUCAGAACUUCGGGAGGCCGAGGUGGGCGGAUCACGAGGUCAGGAGAUCGAGACCAUCUGGCUAACGCGGUGAAACCCCGUCUCGGCGCGUGCCAGGAGGCUGAGGUGGGAGGAUCGCUUGAGCCCAGGAGUUCUGGGCUGCAGUGCGCUAUGCCGAUUGGGUGUCUGCACUAAGUUUGGCAUCAAUAUGGUGACCUCCCGGGACCGGGGGACCACCAGGUUGCCUAAGGAGGGGUGAACCGGCCCAGGUCGGAAACAGAGCAGGUCAAAACUCCCGUGCUGAUCAGUAGUGGGAUCGUGCCUGUGAAUAGCCACUGCACUCCAGCCUGGGCAACAUAGCGAGACCCCAUCUCUC
ensembl:misc_RNA Metazoa_SRP Metazoan signal recognition particle RNA